UACGUAGGGCGCAAGCGUUAUCCGGAAUUAUUGGGCGUAAAGAGCUCGUAGGCGGUUUGUCGCGUCUGCCGUGAAAGUCCGGGGCUCAACUCCGGAUCUGCGGUGGGUACGGGCAGACUAGAGUGAUGUAGGGGAGACUGGAAUUCCUGGUGUAGCGGUGAAAUGCGCAGAUAUCUGGAGGAAUACCGGUGGCGAAGGCGGCAUCCUGGACCGAGAUUGACACUGAUGAGCGAAAGCCAGGGGAGCAAACGGG
rnacentral:rRNA from 1 species